GCCGCCGAAGGUGGGACAGAUGAUUGGGGUGAAGUCGUAACAAGGUAGCCGUAUCGGAAGGUGCGGCUGGAUCACCUCCUUUCUAAGGAA
rnacentral:rRNA from 15 species